rnacentral:rRNA from 1 species
AACCUGGGAAUUGCACUCGAUACUGCUUGGCUAGAGUAUGGGAGAGGGAAGUGGAAUUUCCGGUGUAGCGGUGAAAUGCGUAGAUAUCGGAAGGAACACCAGUGGCGAAGGCGACUUCCUGGCCCAAUACUGACGCUGAGGUGCGAAAGCGUGGGUAGCGAACAGGAUUAGAUACCCUGGUAGUCCACGCCGUAAACGAUGAGAACUAGAUGUCGGAAGGGUUUACCUUUCGGUGUCGCAGCUAACGCGUUAAGUUCUCCGCCUGGGGAGUACGCCGGCAACGGUAAAACUCAAAGGAAUUGACGGGGACCCGCACAAGCGGUGGAGCAUGUGGUUUAAUUCGAUGCAACGCGAAGAACCUUACCUGGUCUUGACAUCCUCGGAACUUUCCAGAAAUGGAUUGGUGCCUUCGGGAACCGAGUGACAGGUGCUGCAUGGCUGUCGUCAGCUCGUGUCGUGAGAUGUUGGGUUAAGUCCCGCAACGAGCGCAACCCUUGUCCCUAGUUGCCAUCAUUUAGUUGGGCACUCUAGGGAGACCGCCGGUGACAAACCGGAGGAAGGUGGGGACGACGCCAAGUCAUCAUGGCCCUUAUGACCAGGGCUACACACGUGCUACAAUGGCCAGUACAGAGGGUUGCCAAGCGGCAACGUGGAGCUAAUCCCAGAAAGCUGGUCGUAGUCCGGAUUGGAGUCUGCAACUCGACUCCAUGAAGUCGGAAUCGCUAGUAAUCGCGAAUCAGCAUUGUCGCGGUGAAUACGUUCCCGGGUCUUGUACACACCGCCCGUCACACCAUGGAAGUUGGUUGCACCAGAAGUAGGUAGCCUAACCCUCGGGAGGGCGCUUACCACGGUGUGGCUAAUGACUGGGGUGAAGUCGUAACAAGGUAACC